UACGUAGGGUGCAAGCGUUGUCCGGAAUUAUUGGGCGUAAAGGGCUCGUAGGCGGUCCAUCGCGUCGGGAGUGAAAAGCUGGGGCUUAACCCCAGUCCUGCUUCCGAUACGGGUGGACUAGAGGUAGGUAGGGGAGAACGGAAUUCCUGGUGGUAGCGGUGAAAUGCGCAGAUAUCAGGAGGAACACCGGUGGCGAAGGCGGUUCUCUGGGCCUUACCUGACGCUGAGGAGCGAAAGCAUGGGGAGCAAACAGG
rnacentral:rRNA from 1 species